AACGAACGCUGGCGGCAUGCCUAACACAUGCAAGUCGAACGAGACCUUCGGGUCUAGUGGCGCACGGGUGCGUAACGCGUGGGAAUCUGCCCUUGGGUUCGGAAUAACAGUUAGAAAUGACUGCUAAUACCGGAUGAUGUCUUCGGACCAAAGAUUUAUCGCCCAGGGAUGAGCCCGCGUAGGAUUAGCUAGUUGGUGGGGUAAAAGGCCUACCAAGGCGACGAUCCUUAGCUGGUCUGAGAGGAUGAUCAGCCACACUGGGACUGAGACACGGCCCAGACUCCUACGGGAGGCAGCAGUGGGGAAUAUUGGACAAUA
rnacentral:rRNA from 1 species